rnacentral:tRNA from 1 species
GCCUGGCUGGCUCAGUCAGUGGAGCAUGGGACUCUUGAUCUCAUAACUUGGGGCUGUGAGUUUGAGUCUCCUGUUGGGCA